GCUUUGGAAAUUUGAGUUGGGCUAAAAAAAAAACUCAAAAAUUAAUGAUUAAGUAAAUAUGUGAAUGCAUGUGAAAAGAUUUGGGAGUAUUAAGAUUUAUUAGUUUAUACAUAAAUUUUUAGUUAGUCAGCUAAGCAGCUUCACUAUACAUAGAUGAAUCCUCUGUCUAGAGUCUGGGGUAUGGCAAGAGGACCCUGUAGGUACCCUGGACUCUCUUCACAAGGUAGCUUAGGGCCAUUGCUGGGAGGAAAUCAGUGUAAUUCUGGCUAUUAUGGGUAGCUGGAUAACCUUGGUUAACUUAUUCUACUUCAGUUUCUCCUAAGCAAAGUUAAAAUAGCAACAUUAACCUACCCCCCGCAGGCAAGUUAAUAAGUACAUUUUCCCCCAAAGUGCAAUGUACGAAUUUUCAUUAGUCAUAGGGCUACGAUAAUAGUUAAUUGUCUCUAGUUCUGCUUGUUAUUUACUGCUCACUCGAGCAAAAGAUGCUACUGAAGGGACUGAGGGGGAAAAGUUGCAAAAGAUGCUGAUAUGCCAAAUAAGUUGCCAAGGUAAUAAAAAAUGUAAUCAAGACUGCAGAAGACCUUCUGAUUUCCAUCCCAAGCAAUCAUUAGAGAUUCUAUUGCAAACUAAUUUUCUUAUCUCUUAUCUCCAAGUCAGCUCCUCUGCCAAGGACUUAAGGACUCAAUUUAUCAUCUCCCUUAACAGGUACCUUGGCUGCAGUGUGCUUUGGCUCUGGAUCUACCCAAAUGAUUUAAAGCAAAAUUGAUUCUGACUCACAAUAUAUAUGCUCUGGGUUUUAAAUGCAAAUGCAUAAAUGCUGAAGUAAUAGACGGUGCAACACUUACACUGUGGAUAUACAACUUUUGCUCUCCCAAGCUCCUCUUCCGAAUGACUAAUAUUAUCUCUAGAAUCAACCAAAAUGCAUCAAAUAUUCUAUUUUUCUCUCUCCUCUUAUCAGGAUAUGAGAAGAAAAAGAUAAGACAAAGGAAACAUAGCAUGAAGAGCCUCCAGAACAUCAAAUAUCAAAGCAGCUUAGCAAGGCUUUUAUCUGCUCAAGACUGAACAUUUUGAUGUUAUUGAAAAGCUUCAAAUCCCAAUUCUUUAGGUUGACACAGUCCCCAGGACACGUAGUCAGAAUCCUGAGGGCACAUGAGGCUGUCAGAGUGUGGCCAGCUGCAUUGAGGGUAUGACUCUGUCCCCCUCGGUGUCACCUGUUGGUCUACUCUCAUCAUUCUGUUAUUUCUGUGGAGCUGCUAAAGCUACUAGUGGAGAGUGAUGGGCUAUUUUCCUAAAGAUUUUCAGAUGAACUCUCAUUUCUUCUUCCAUAAUUUCUUGUGUCUGUCCCCAGCCCACAGCCUUCUUUUCAUUCUUCUGAUACCUUUCAGAGCCUUGGAGUUCCUGCGGAUAGGUUGGUCUAUGACGGUGUGACGUCUAUGAUGGUUGGUUACUACCUGGCUUCCAGCUAGACAUUCCCACAUUGCUUCCAAAUUGUGGAAUGAGAAACCCUGGCUGAAACUUUACAAUCAUGUAUGACACAUCAGAAACAUUUCAUCUGGGCUCAGAAAGCCUAGGUGACGAGGAGUGUGUCCUCACUCAAGAGCAGGGAGGUUGCACUCUUCUGAUCAAGGAGCACCAGUCAAACUGACCCUUUGCAUUUAAAGGAACCCAGGGAAGGUGCCCAUUGUCUAGGAAAGAAAAGAAGACAUUGUUACAAAGUGGGAACUGGACUUCAGAAAUAUUUAAUCAAAGUAGUAAAUGGGUGACAAUUUAUUGUACUGCUCAAGACAUUUGAGGGAGUAAGUCAUUAAAAUAACUUGUUCCUAAUAGCUUUCUUCUUGUGUAGUGCUUGCCAAAAAAAAAGAAAAGAAAAAAAGAGAAA